UACGUAGGCAGCAAGCGUUGUUCGGAGUUACUGGGCGUAAAGGGUGCGUAGGCGGCUUCUUAAGUCUGGUGUGAAAUCUCCCGGCUCAACUGGGAGGGUGCGCCGGAUACUGAGGGGCUAGAGUGUGGGAGAGGAAAGUGGAAUUCCUGGUGUAGCGGUGAAAUGCGUAGAUAUCAGGAGGAACACCGGUGGCGAAGGCGGCUCACUGGACCACAACUGACGCUGAGGCGCGAAAGCUAGGGGAGCAAACAGG
rnacentral:rRNA from 1 species